rnacentral:rRNA from 1 species
UACGUAGGGUGCAAGCGUUGUCCGGAAUUAUUGGGCGUAAAGCGCUCGUAGGCGGUUCGUCGCGUCGGCUGUGAAAUCCCGAGGCUCAACCUCGGGUCUGCAGUCGAUACGGGCGGACUGGAGUUCGGCAGGGGAGACUGGAAUUCCUGGUGUAGCGGUGAAAUGCGCAGAUAUCAGGAGGAACACCGGUGGCGAAGGCGGGACUCUGGGCCGAUACUGACGCUGAGGAGCGAAAGCGUGGGGAGCGAACAGG